rnacentral:rRNA from 1 species
GAUGAACGCUAGCGGCAGGCUUAAUACAUGCAAGUCGAGGGACAGCACAGGUAGCAAUACUGGGUGGUAACCGGCAAACGGGUGCGGAACACGUACACAACCUUCCUUUAAGUGGGGGAUAGCCCAGAGAAAUUUGGAUUAAUACCCCGUAAUAUAGUUGAAUGGCAUCAUUUGAUUAUUAUAGCUACGGCGCUUAAUGAUGGGUGUGCGGCUGAUUAGAUAGUUGGCGGGGUAACGGCCCACCAAGUCUACGAACAGUAGCUGAUGUGAGAGCAUGAUCAGCCACACGGGCACUGAGACACGGGCCCGACUCCUACGGGAGGCAGCAGUAAGGAAUAUUGGUCAAUGGACGCAAGUCUGAACCAGCCAUGCCGCGUGAAGGAUUAAGGUCCUCUGGAUUGUAAACUUCUUUUACUUGAGACGAAAAAGGGCCUUUCUAGGUCAACUGACGGUACCAGAUGAAUAAGCACCGGCUAACUCCGUGCCAGCCGCCGCGGUAAAAC